AGGGAGAGUGAAGAAGUUUGGUGGUGGGGAUUGAGAGAGUUUUCCAGAUAUUUUUGGCCAACUAUUAUGUUAAUGCAGGGGCUGGUUUUUUGUAGCUGGUUUUCUGUAUUGACAGUUAAGGAGUAUGACGAUUUAGUUGCAAAUCGGUUAAGAGGGCUGCGAAUUGAAUGA